rnacentral:tRNA from 1 species
CUUUGGGUGGUGCAAAUGGGCAACACACUCAGCUGCUAACUGAAAGGUUGGUGGUUCAAGUCCGCCCAGAGA